rnacentral:rRNA from 1 species
UACUCCUACGGGAGGCAGCAGUAGGGAAUCUUCGGCAAUGGACGGAAGUCUGACCGAGCAACGCCGCGUGAGUGAAGAAGGUUUUCGGAUCGUAAAGCUCUGUUGUAAGAGAAGAACGAGUGUGAGAGUGGAAAGUUCACACUGUGACGGUAUCUUACCAGAAAGGGACGGCUAACUACGUGCCAGCAGCCGCGGUAAUACGUAGGUCCCGAGCGUUGUCCGGAUUUAUUGGGCGUAAAGCGAGCGCAGGCGGUUAGAUAAGUCUGAAGUUAAAGGCUGUGGCUUAACCAUAGUACGCUUUGGAAACUGUUUAACUUGAGUGCAAGAGGGGAGAGUGGAAUUCCAUGUGUAGCGGUGAAAUGCGUAGAUAUAUGGAGGAACACCGGUGGCGAAAGCGGCUCUCUGGCUUGUAACUGACGCUGAGGCUCGAAAGCGUGGGGAGCAAACAGGAUUAGAUACCCUGGUAGUCCACGCCGUAAACGAUGAGUGCUAGGUGUUAGACCCUUUCCGGGGUUUAGUGCCGUAGCUAACGCACUAAGCACUCCGCCUGGGGAGUACGACCGCAAGGUUGAAACUCAAAGGAAUUGACGGA